rnacentral:lncRNA from 1 species
GGAGUCAGAUCCUGUCUCCAUCCUACACAGGAGUCAGAUCCUGUCUCCAUCCUGUCACAGGGAGUCAGAUCCUGUCUCCAUCCUACACAGGGAGUCAGAUCCUGUCUCCAUCCUACACAGGGAGUCAGAUCCUGUCUCCAUCCUACACAGGAGUCAGAUCCUGUCUCCAUCCUACACAGGAGUCAGAUCCUGUCUCCAUCCUACACAGGG